rnacentral:lncRNA from 1 species
GGAGGUUUCAUUAUGCAGUCAUGGUUCAUUAAAUGGUGAUUAACAAUCUUCAGCCUGUUGCCUCUAGCGAGUGCAUGUCUUUGAGGAGGUGGCGUUGGGAGGCCCCCUAAGGACCCUCUGCCUCUCCUCGGGUCCUUGCCCUGAGUGUGGUAAAACAUGGAGAAACAGGGCUCUUAGCAGAAAGUAGGGGAGUCAGGACUGAUAGAGUGCCAAGUGGAAGUUUAUUUAAAGUGAGGUAAAUACAGAGAAAGCGGAAGAGACAGCAUCUCAGCAGCAGAGUGGAGCUAGGAGAAGAAGCAGCCUGCUUGGGAAGCUCCAAGCCAGCAGGCAGAGGAGCCCUUUGAAGGACUGUUACAGAUGCAGCAGCAACAGUAGCAGCAUAGAUGCUCUGGGGCUGGGAGACCAGGUCUCUGGAACUGCACAGCGUCCUGUCACUAAACUUGCCACAAGCAGAGGCAGUCAUGUCAUGAACUGGCCCUCAAGACAUGAGGAUUUCUCCAGAGCUAAGGAAACCUAAGCGGAGCUAAUGACCGGCUGGAGCUCAGCCCGUGACAUCACCCCAUAAAACCGGUCUGCCCUCCUCUGUAAAUGGGCCGGUGUGAGCCUCUUGCUCAGAAUGUGUCCCUUCUGGCUGCUCAAGCUCGAGUGCCUUCCCUGUCUUUCUCUUUCCAAUUAAAGCUGUUACCUAUAAAUUCCUACCGUUGCUUUCAUUUUAAUUUCCACUGUCACUGAAGGAAGGACGCAGGGUAACUGGGGAAGGCAAGCCUCAUUCUUCUUCCUG